GGUGAUUGUAAGCCUAUUGGGAAGGCGCUAGGUUGUGGCCCUAGUGGGAGAAAUCCCAGAGUGAGUUCGAUUCUCACCUUUCACCC
rnacentral:tRNA from 1 species